rnacentral:lncRNA from 1 species
CGCAUGCCAGAGGCUAGAGUCAUCUACCGCGCAUGCUGGAGGCUGGAGCCUACAGUGGCUCACCUCGCUGCUGCGGUUGGUGGCCGCGAGGGUGACUACAGCGCAGCCAGAAUGGUGAAAAGGUGGCAGAAUAGGGCUUAUCUGACUUUGCCUGCCCAGUUGCUCCGUGCCAGGAGGAGGAGCCACUUAUUCCAUGCUGGAGGCUGGAGCUGGGGGCACCGCAGCUCACCUUGCUGUGGUUGGUGGUGGCGAUGGAGACUACAGAGCACCAGAGCGGAGAGUGGUCACGGCUGAACAAUUUCAAGAAGCGAGUCGAUGUCUCAUCUCCCUAUCUUAUCUUGAAAAACCCGUGUACCUAAGUCGUGGAUGUGUCUGCUGCAUCCGCUGCAUCAGUUCACUUCUGAAGGAACCCCAUGAGGAAGGUGUAAUGUGCUCCUUUCGCUCUGUGGCUACUCAGAAGAAUGACAUCAGGCCCGAUUUCCAGCUGGGAAAGAUGGAUUCUAAAAUCAAGGAACUGGAGCCCCAGCUGACAAUUCUAUAUCAGAACCCAAAGACGCUGAAGUUCCAAGGGAGUGGGCUGGCCUGUCCUGUAGAAGCUACCUCAUCGAUGUGCAGGCCCUGGAUGAGAAGCUGCUCAUCAUCAUCGCCCUGCAGUUCCUGCACGGCUACUACAAGCCCAUCCUGUUCGAGCCCAACCAGACCUGGCCCGGGCACGUGGCUGUGUGGCAGGACACGUGCUCCAUCGUGGCCAUCUUGCUAACAUCACGCAGAAGGUGCACCCCGUCAUCUGAUCUCUCACCAGCUACCCUUUGACUGCACCCAGGCUCUGGCCGUACCCAAGCCCAUAGGUGGGGUGGUGGUCUUUGUCGUCAGCUCGCUG